GACGGCUGUCUGAGACGGAGCGUCUGCCUCUGCUUUUCAGGCCUGUUUCUGCUGACUGCUGCAGUUUAGCUGAUGUUCCUACACCUGUCUGUUCUCAUGGUGACCUCUGACCUUUGGUGACCUUUAGUGACCUCUGUCCUCCUGUUACAGGUGUGUGUGUGCUGCUGCUGUCUGCUCUGACCGUUUCUACAGCUCCUCCUCCCUCUGAGUCAGUUCUCAGACUCUUCUGCCAUCUAGUGGUCUUCUGCCCGUACUGCACCUCCAAUUGUCUGCUGCUGUACAUCUGCUGCAGCAGGAAGACACCGAUCAAACCAGCCAUCUCCAUGGAGAUGACCCAGUGUGAUGGAGGAGGUCAGGGACUGGAUGAAGAUGGUGAUGAUGUCACUGCUGAUGUCACUACUGAGCAUGCCUUCUGAGCUGCAGACUGUGUGUCAGGGUACCAGCAUCUGCAGUAUUCCUGUAUCUUGAUUCCUCUUUUGCUGUAUUGGAGAAAUGUUCUAGUGUUUACUGUCAGUAUUUAGGUUUGAGUUUAUCACAUCAUCCCUGUUUCCUUGUUUAUAUGUCAUUCCCUGUUUGCUGAGUAAGUCUGUCCUCUGUGUAUGUCUCUUCAGUGAUGUCUCCUCUGUCUCGUCUCCCUUUCUGUUUUGUGUUAUCAUUCCAUGUCUCCUCUGUCUGUAUUGCGAUUCCUGUACAUUCUCCCAGCCCAUCAUGUGCGUCUCCUCCCGUUGUCUUCCAAGUCCGUCUAGUUCUUCCCUCCCGUCUCCUGUGUCAUGUUGUGUGAAUUAGUCUGCGUCAUAGUGUUUCCUGUUUUACUUUGACAGUGUCACGUCCCGUCUUCAGUGUGUAUAGUUUUGCUUCCUCUGUGUCGUGAGGUCCACUCUCUCUAAUUACCCUUGUGUGCUUAUGGUGUGUCUCAUUUCCUCUGUCAGGUUGUCUGUAUUUCCUCUGUGUCUCCCACGUCAUGGUCCAGUUCCCUUGUUCCAGUUUUCUUUGUUAUUUGCUUUACUCAACAUUUACAGCCUCAAUAAAUGACUGGCUUUCUGUUCAACCUCACUCUGGCCUCAGUUGUCUACAUUUGGCUCCUCCUACCGAGUAUAUUUACACCAGCAACACUGUUUAGUUUGAUAUGACGGAUUAACAACAUGCUGUGAUAUCCAGUUCAUCUGUAAUAGAUACUGGAUCUAAUCAGUCAGCAGAUAUUUGAUCAGCUUAUUUAUAACUAUACUAGAAACAAACACAACUGUGUUGGUGAUUCAUGCAAACUUGCAUAUCAGCCUUUGAAGGUUUUGUAGUAUUGAGAACAAAGAGGU